GAGUGACAUCACCCUUGUCCAAUCAGUGUCCGCCGCUCCCCCUACCCCAAUCGGCCCAGCUGGUCGCGAGCCCCCAGUGCGGGCUGGGAAAGGCCGGGCCCGUGUCCCGCAGGCUGGCUGGGCGCGCAGAGCAGAGCAGAGCAGGGUGCGGUACUCCCAGGUGUUUGCAGCGGAAGUGGGGGCUGCACUAGGUGACAGCUCCGCUGUGCAGUAGCAGCAGCAUUGCACAGGUAAUGAUUCUGGAUCUGUACUGAAACAGUUUACUACAUAUAGUAAAGAAGGGCCAUCGUGGACCUGAGAAUCCUUCAAACUAAUGCUUUGUUGAAACAGGUAA